rnacentral:rRNA from 1 species
AUGCAGUCGAGCGGUAACAGGGGUAGCUUGCUACCCGCUGACGAGCGGCGGACGGGUGAGUAAUGCUUAGGAAUCUGCCCAGUAGUGGGGGAUAGCCCGGGGAAACCCGGAUUAAUACCGCAUACGUCCUACGGGAGAAAGCAGGGGAUCUUCGGACCUUGCGCUAUUGGAUGAGCCUAAGUCGGAUUAGCUAGUUGGUGGGGUAAAGGCCUACCAAGGCGACGAUCCGUAGCUGGUCUGAGAGGAUGAUCAGCCACAUCUGGAUUGAGACACGGCCCGAACUCCUACGGGAGGCAGCAGUGGGGAAUAUUGGACAAUGGGGGCAACCCUGAUCCAGCCAUGCCGCGUGUGUGAAGAAGGCUUUCGGGUUGUAAAGCACUUUCAGUAGGGAGGAAAACCUUAUGGCUAAUACCCAUGAGGCUUGACGUUACCUACAGAAGAAGCACCGGCUAACUCCGUGCCAGCAGCCGCGGUAAUACGGAGGGUGCUAGCGUUAAUCGGAAUUACUGGGCGUAAAGCGCGCGUAGGUGGUUUGGUAAGCGAGAUGUGAAAGCCCCGGGCUUAACCUGGGAACGGUAUUUCGAACUGUCAGACUAGAGUGUGGUAGAGGGUAGUGGAAUUUCCUGUGUAGCGGUGAAAUGCGUAGAUAU